AAAUUGAAGAGUUUGAUCAUGGCUCAGAUUGAACGCUGGCGGCAGGCCUAACACAUGCAAGUCGAGCGGAAACGGCAGUAUUGAAGCUUCGGUGGAUUUACUGGACGUCGAGCGGCGGACGGGUGAGUAACGGCUGGGAACCUGCCCUGACGAGGGGGAUAACCGUUGGAAACGACGGCUAAUACCGCAUAAUGUCUUAGUUCAUUACGAGCUGGGACCAAAGGUGGCCUCUACAUGUAAGCUAUCGCGUUGGGAUGGGCCCAGUUAGGAUUAGCUAGUUGGUAAGGUAAUGGCUUACCAAGGCGACGAUCCUUAGCUGGUUUGAGAGGAUGAUCAGCCACACUGGGACUGAGACACGGCCCAGACUCCUACGGGAGGCAGCAGUGGGGAAUAUUGCACAAUGGGGGAGACCCUGAUGCAGCCAUGCCGCGUGUGUGAAGAAGGCCUUCGGGUUGUAAAGCACUUUCAGCAGUGAGGAAGGUGGUGUACUUAAUAAGUGCAUGGCUUGACGUUAGCUGCAGAAGAAGCACCGGCUAACUCCGUGCCAGCAGCCGCGGUAAUACGGAGGGUGCGAGCGUUAAUCGGAAUUACUGGGCGUAAAGCGCAUGCAGGCGGUUUGUUAAGUCAGAUGUGAAAGCCCGGGGCUCAACCUCGGAACCGCAUUUGAAACUGGCAGGCUAGAGUCUUGUAGAGGGGGGUAGAAUUUCAGGUGUAGCGGUGAAAUGCGUAGAGAUCUGAAGGAAUACCAGUGGCGAAGGCGGCCCCCUGGACAAAGACUGACGCUCAGAUGCGAAAGCGUGGGUAGCAAACAGGAUUAGAUACCCUGGUAGUCCACGCCGUAAACGCUGUCUACUUGGAGGUUGAGGUUUAGACUUUGGCUUUCGGCGCUAACGCAUUAAGUAGACCGCCUGGGGAGUACGGCCGCAAGGUUAAAACUCAAAUGAAUUGACGGGGGCCCGCACAAGCGGUGGAGCAUGUGGUUUAAUUCGAUGCAACGCGAAGAACCUUACCUACUCUUGACAUCCAGAGAACUUUCCAGAGAUGGAUUGGUGCCUUCGGGAGCUCUGAGACAGGUGCUGCAUGGCUGUCGUCAGCUCGUGUUGUGAAAUGUUGGGUUAAGUCCCGCAACGAGCGCAACCCUUAUCCUUGUUUGCCAGCAC
rnacentral:rRNA from 4 species